UGGCAGUCAUCAUCAACACAUCUGCAGGCUCCACAGUCACAGACUAAAAGUUCAAGUAUAGAACAAGUUCCUUCUGUGAACCUCACUCAGUCUGGACGUGUUCGUGUUUCUCGUGUUGCCCCAUCAUCCACAGUCCGAGACAUUUUCAAGGUUGUGACUGAAGGCCUUGUUAUGAGGGUGUUUUGCAGACCAGUGAUUGUCGGCCUUGGGAUUUUCAAGAAAAACUGUAGACUGCCCCUAAAAAUACAAUCCAAGGGAAGUAGCUUAAAGCUUAAAAGGGAGAUAAUUUCUUUACCUGCCAAAUGAUAUAUUGAAAUUUUAUUUCAAAGCGGCGCAAUAGGGGGCAUCGUGUUUCUGACAAACUUAUCUAUUUUUCAAGUUUGUAGUACAAAAUAGCUGUAUCUAUGGUUAUGAUGAUAUUUGUUAUUAUUUCAGGAGCAAAGACUGGUCUGGUUGCUGUUGCGGCAAAAGUUGCAGUACUCAGACAGCAGACAUCAAUAACACCAGCAACAUCACCUGACCAAGAACAAGAGACGAAUGUUUGCAUUACUGGUGACUGGAAGAAGUCUCUGCCUAAGGCUGAUCACCAGUGGAUCGCCAAGGCAUUCUUCAGUUGGACCAAGAAAGAAGGGAUUCAGCUUAACGGCUCCAUCCUAGACUUUGGUGGCAUCCCCCU